rnacentral:lncRNA from 1 species
CUUGUUUAUUCCUCAAAAAACCCUAUGAGGUGACUACUGUGAGUGUUCCCAUUAUACAGGUGAAGAAACUUAAGUUUAAGGAGGCUAAGCAAGUUACCCAAAGUUGCUGGACUAGGAUUCAGGUGCUCAUCAUCAUAAAAGAAAUAGCUGCUCUUUACUGAGCACUAACUAUGGGGCAGACCCUUGCUAUGAAUUAUCUCUUUGGUUCCUUACUAUUGCUCUAUGACAUAGGUGUAAUUAUUACUCUUUCCAUUGUACAGAGCUAAGGCAAUUAGGUGGUUAAGAAACUUUCCAAGAUCGCAUAGUUAGUAGAAGACAGAACAGGAAUUUGAACUUAAGCAAAUGAUUCCAACUCUCAGCCCUUGAACCUUCUACUACUUCUCUCUCUCUCUUUUUUCCAAAACAGCUCUUUUACCAGGGAAAACCUGAAGACAACUACAAUCAUCUAUCUUGGACCAUUUGCUUUCAAUGAUCUGCUUGCUCUAAUAUCCCCAUGGAAACUGGAGAGUCGGGAUCAUUACAGAUGGGAGAACUGAGGCCUAGGGAGACCAAGUGACUUGUCAGGCAUUAGACAUGGAGCAAGUGACUGAGGCCUUAAGAGACCCUUAGGCCCACUGACUCCCAUGACUGAACAUGACAAUAAAAAGGACAAACCCUGCAGAAAAGAGUUACUGAGGCUCUUCAGGGCUCAGACUCUUCACACCCAAGAAAAUCUCUUGCUGCAUAGAUUGGCCUCCAGUACAACCCAGCCUGAUACACACCACAAGCCCACAGCAUGCUCAACCACCCCCAAAGGAUUUAAAGGUUGCUACUGCUGCUCUCACUCUUCAGACUAAAGACAGUUCUUAAGCCACACAAAUGACUGCUCUGAUAUCCACCUUCUCCUAAUCCUACGUGUGGCCUAAAGCAAACACCGAAAUUCCCUUGACCAUACCUGGAUGUUGGCAGCAAAGAGAUGCAAGAUGAUGAAGCAAGCCCAGGCAGAGUGACAAGAAAAGCUACACCUGUACCUGUUUGUCACUAUUCCCUUUGCAGAGGGUGACAUCACUGUUUAUUUCUAUUAGAAUAACUCCUCAUGGGAGGGCCUCAAACUUGUCCUCUUUGCAGGAAGGCAAGUCGAGAGAAGCCGACUCCUACUCAGUGCUCAGCCUCUGGAAAACUCUGGAACCAACCUAGCUGACCUCUGAGUUCAGGGACGAUGCAGCAGUAGCUUUGUUCCAAAUGUCUUACAACAUACACCUCUAAAGUUCCUUUGCCAUUGUCUGCUGCUGCAGCGGCCACCAGCAGAAAUGACCCUAAAUAGCCAUUCACUUCACAGUGAAUUUAGAGGGACUUGAUGCUGGAAAAUGCUUUUGACACAGUUCUAGUUGGAGAUGAAUUAAAAACAUGUUUGCUUAAAUAAUUGAAGGUGAAAUGUGUAUUGCGUGUGUUUCACAUGCAGUUAGGGAUUUCUGCCCCAGCCUUUGGUGAUGCCAAUUAUGAGUUUCUGCCUAGCACUUGAUUUAAGAUGCAAAACCUGAAUUAUCAGAAGAUCUCAAGAGAAGGAAUAAAGUAUACUUUGAUAUACUGCA